rnacentral:tRNA from 1 species
GGCGGCAUAGCUCAGUUGGCUAGAGCACUCGGUUCAUACCCGUGGUGUCACUGGUUCAAGUCCAGUUGCCGCUACCA